rnacentral:tRNA from 1 species
GGGAAUGUGGCUUAGUGGUAGAGUUCUUGCCUAGCAUGCAUGAAGCCCUGGGUUCAAUUCCUCAGUACCA